CAAAAAAUAGUUUAAAAUAAAAUAAUAACAUUGGAAGUUAUUGAUCAAUAAUAAAUAUUGUUUUUUGA
rnacentral:tRNA from 1 species